rnacentral:lncRNA from 1 species
CUGUAAUUCCAGCUACUCAAGAGGCUGAGUCAGGAGAAUCACUUGAACUCAAGAGGCAGAGGCUGCAGUGAGCUGAGAUCGUGCUACUGCACUCCAGCCUGAGUGACAAGAGCGAAACUCCAUCUCAAAAAAAAAAAAAAAGAAGCUUUAUGCCUACAAUGAUACCAGGCUUUGGAGGUUUCAUAAACAAAUUAUUAAAUAUAUCAAAAAUAUAUACAAAUUAUAAAUAUGUGUAGAUUUAUAUAUUAUAUGUUUAUAUCAUAGUUCGAUAAAUGGCUCCAAGGUACAGAAAAGAACCCAGAGUUUUCAACAUAUUUGUACAAAGGUUAGCAUAACCCUGGUAAACAAAUUUUAAUAAAUUGUAUGUGU